rnacentral:rRNA from 1 species
AUGUUCCCGUGCUGGCUGUUGGUGUCCCCGCUGCUGCCGCGGGCCCACGCCGCCGCGGCGCACGUCUCCGUGCGGCGGCUGUUGUGGCCGUCGACGUCGCUGCGCGUGGUGCGGUGCAUGGCCAAGGAGCGGCGGGUGCGGAUGGUGGCGAAGCAGAUCCAGCGGGAGCUGGCGGACAUGUUGGCCCGCGACCCCGUCAUGUAGCGCGCCGUCCUCCCCGAGGCCGCCUUCGGCGCCGACCGCUACCUCUCCUCCCUCACCACCGUCGCCGACGUCGAGCUCUCCAACGACCUCCAGGUGUGCAAGGUGUAUGUGUCCGUGUUCGGGGACGAGAGGGGGAAGAAGAUGGCCAUGGCCGGGCUCAAGGACAAGACCAAGUACGUCAGGAGCCAUAUUGGCAAGCGGAUGAAGCUGCGCCUCACGCCCGAGAUACGGUUCAUCGAUGACGAGUCCAUGCAGCGCGGAAGCAGGAUUCUUACUAUACUGGACAAACUAAAGGAGCAAAGGGAGCAGAGAGAAGGAUGUUCCCGUGCUGGCCGCUCGUGUCCCCGCCGCUGCCGCGCGCCCUCGCCGCCGCGGCACCCGUCUCCGUGCGGCGGCUGCCGUGGCCGUCGACGUCGCUGCGCGUGGUGCGGUGCAUGGCCAAGGAGCGGCGGGUGUGGAUGGUGGCGAAGCAGAUCCAGUGGCGGGUGCGGGUGA